rnacentral:hammerhead_ribozyme from 1 species
UGCUGACGAGUCCCAAACAGGACGAAACAACUGUCCA